rnacentral:lncRNA from 1 species
UGGCACUAGACGUAUGGGACGACCACAAGAACACUCAAAACUAAGGAUAGAUGUGAACCUAAUGGUAUACCUGAAGCUUUGAUUACCACUUAAUGAGAACAAGGGUGACCCGAUCUUUCGAAACGUUCUGGUAACUCUUGAUUUGGUGGAGACGAGACACAAAUCGAUCUGGCUUCCGAACAACACGAUCCAAAAUCCUGCAAUUUUUUUUUUGAUAUUUUUCUUUUCUUAGGAGCAAUAAAGAAGUAACCACAGAAAACUUGAGCUUAAACAAGUGAAAGACGUGGAGUGCAGAAAUUUCUGAAGAUUGCGAAAAAUGUGAAAAAAAAUCACGAGGUGGAAACUCAAACUCUGGAGGCGAAUUUGUAGAUUCUAAAAUUUUCAAACCCACCAAUGGCAGAGACAGACAGAUCCAAAAAAUUUUUCUGACAGAUGUUGAUAUAUGGAACAUUGAAAUCGGUGUUCGUAUGCGAAAGUUAUGGUUGUUUUACGAACUGACUCCGAAUUAGAGGACAAAACGGUCCGAAAGUGGGAAAAAUUUUUGACGGUGGCUAGAAAUUGAUGGAAACGGUGGGGGAAAAUACACGAACUGGACUCUAACAAGACCUAAUCAACAACAAGACCUCAACUAGGACACAAACUCAACACUGCGGACUCUGAAACUGAAAUAUGCAAAGGCUAUGACGCGGAAGGGUUGUAGGACAAGAAAACGAUAUGGCACUGGACUUAUGGGACGAACACAAGAGCACUCGGAACUAAAGGGUAGAUGUGAACUUAACGGUAUACCUGAAGCUUUGAUUACCACUUGAUGAGAACAAGGGUGGCCCGAUCUUCCGAAAGCUUAUGGUAACUCUCGAUUUGGCGGAGACGAGACACAAAUCGAUUCGGCUUCCAAACAACACAAUCCAAAAUCCUACUAUUUUUUAUUUUUUUAUAUUUUUCUUUUACUUAGGAGCAAUAAAGAAGUAACCACAGAAAAUUUAAGCUUAAACAAGUGAAAGACGUGGCUUGCGGAAAUUUCUGAAGAUUGUGAAAAAUGUGAAAAAAAUUCACGAGGUGAAAACUCAAACUUUAGAGGUGAAUUUGGAGAUUCUAAAAUUUUCAAACCCACCAAUGGUAGAGACAGACAGAUCCAAAUUUUUUCUGAUCGAUUUUUAUAUAUGGAACAUUGAAAUCGGAGUUCGUAUGUGAAAGUUAUGCUUGUUUUACGAACGGACUCCGAAUUAGAGGACAAAACGGUCCGAAAGUGGGAAAAAUUUUCGGCGGUGGCUAGAAAUUGAUGGAAACGGUGGGGAAAAAAUACACGAACUAGACUCUAAUAAAACCUAACCAACAACAAGACCUCGACUAGGACACAAACUCGACACUGCGGACUAUGAAACUAAAAUAUGCAAAGGCUCUGGCACGGAAGGUUGUAGGACAGGAAAACGAUAUGGCACUAGACUUAUUGGACGAACACAAGAACACUCGAAACUAAGGGUAGAUGUGAACCUAAUGAUAUACCUAAAGCUGAUUACCACUGGAUGAGAACAAACGGUGGCCCGAUCUUCCCAAAGGUUCUGGUAACUCUCGAUUUGGCGGAUACGAGAUACAAAUCGAUCUGGGUUCCAAACAACACGAUCCGAAAUCCUGCAAUUUUUCUAAAUUUUUUUUAUAUAUUUCUUUUACUUAGAAGCACUAAAGAAGUAACCACAGAAAAUUUGAGCUUAAACAAGUGAAAGACGUGGCCUGCAGAAUUUUUGGAAGAUUGUGAAAAAUGUGAAAUAAACUUCACGAGGUGAAAACUGAAACUUCAGAGGCGAAUUUGGAGAUUCUAAAAUUUUCAAACCCACCAAUGGCAGAGACAGACAGAUCCAAACUUUUUUUCUGACCAAUUUUGAUAUAUGGAACAAUGAAAUCGGUGUUCGUAUGUGAAAGUUAUGGUUAUUUUAAGAACGGACUCCGAAUUAGAUGGCAAAACGGUCCGAAAGUGGGAAAAAAUUGCGGCGGUGGCUAGAAAUUGAUGGAAACGGUGGGGAAAAAUACACAAACUGGACUCUAACAAGACCUAACCAGCAACAAGCCCCCAACCAUGACACAAACUCGACACUGCGGACUCUGAAACUGAAGUAUGCAGAGGCUAUGGCGCGGAAUGGUUGUAGGGAAGAAAAACGAUAUGGCACUAGACGUAUGGGACGACCACAAGAACACUCAAAACUAAGGAUAGAUGUGAACCUAAUGGUAUACCUGAAGCUUUGAUUACCACUUAAUGAGAACAAGGGUGGCCCGAUCUUCCGAAACGUUCUGGUAACUCUUGAUUUGGUGGAGACGAGACACAAAUCGAUCUGGCUUCCGAACAACACGAUCCAAAAUCCUGCAUUUUUUUUUUUGAUAUUUUUCUUUUCUUAGGAGCAAUAAAGAAGUAACCACAGAAAACUUGAGCUUAAACAAGUGAAAGACGUGGAGUGCAGAAAUUUCUAA